CAAAUUAUGAUGUAGGCUCCACCACUUGGGGAGACCUUAGGAACUUCCAAAGUGCAAUGGAAGUUGCUUCCCUAGGCCAUGGGCCUCAAUGAUCACCCAUUGACCCCAUCCAGUUUCCGGCCCGGUGAGUGGAGUUGCUUUGCCUUGGAUGACAGGCGCGAGAAAAGUUGGAACGGUGUAAACUCUUUACAUGCAGCGUCGCUCCUCAAAAACAUAUGCUCUCCAUCGAGCUUCUAGUUUUCGGAGUUGAGACUGGGGAAAGUUGAGAUGGGAGCUGUGUUGGUCGGUGUUUUUUCCGCAAAAGAGGUAUCACUUUUUAAAAGUAUAAUCUCUUCAAACCUUUUUAACUUUUGGAGUUGAGACGGGACAUUCAAGCUGAAAUGGGAAUUAGCAUUCGAUUGGUCCUGAUAUUCAAAGUUUGUUUCGUACGUCCAUUCAAAUCAGUUUCCGGCCCGGUGAGUGGAGUUGCUUUGCCUAGGAUGACAGGCGCGAGAAAAGUUGGAACGGUGUAAACUCUUUACAGGCAGCGUCGCUCC